AGACCUAAAAUCUUCCAGGCACUGUUGCCUUAACAUUCCAGUUUCUGAUAAGUGACAUGGGAUUUGCUAAUGACUGAGUCACUGUUAUAAACAAAGUCUGAGGCAAGAGUGCCUUAAAUAAUCUUACAUGGAGAAUUUCCUUUUCCUGCUUUACUGUCUUGAGUAAUAUCUUUUGUUUUACUUGUAGAUUUGAUGGUCCUCGAAGAUUUGAGGAUUUAGGGUCAAGGUGUGAAGGACCGAGACCCAAAGGGCCUCGUUUUGAAGGAAAUCUCUCCGAUGGGCCAAGACCCAGAUAUGAAAGUCACCCAGCAGAGGGCACUAAAAGCAAAUGGGGAACAAUCCCCCGGGGUCCAGCAUCUCAAUUUUAUAUAACUCCCAGUACAUCCCUAAGCCCUCGACAGAGUGGACCACAGUGGAAAGGCCCCAAAGCAACUGUUGGACAGCAGCAUCAGCAGCAACCUAAGUCACAAGCAGAGCCUCUUUCAGGAAACAAAGAACCAUUAGCAGGCACAAGUAGUAACCAGAAGAAUUUUAAAAUGCAAUCAGCUGCAUUUUCCACUGCUGCAGAUGUCAAGGACACCAAGGCGGCUCAGUCGAAUGAGAAUUUAAGCGACUCUCAACAAGAGCCACCUAAAGGCCAAGUCUCGGAAGGGCAUGUAGAGCCCUCUAAUUGGAACCAGAAUUCUCAAACUAUGGAUACUGAAAUGGACAAAGCCAAAGGUGUUACUCGACCUCUAUUCCUUGCCAAAAAACCUGUACCUACUCCAUCUACCUUUUCCUUCAAACUAGAGAACAUAGUGGGAGCAGUAGCAGCAGCAUUGACUGCAGAUAAUUUCAAACCUUUUGGUUUUGGUUUGCCCCACUCAGAAAACAACCAAGGAAAAGGUCUGCCUCAGCCAGACAGCAAAGAAAAUAGAUUAGAAGGCAAUAAAGACAGCAGCACGUCUUACAGAGGUCCUGAGCAAAACAGAGUGGAAGGUACACGGGAUAAAGGACUAGUAAACAGAGGCCAUUGCCAGACAAUUAGUCAAGGUCCAGGGCUGGUCAAACAAGAAGACUUCCAUGAUAAGAUGAUGGGUAGAAGAGAAGACAGUCAUGAGAAAAUGAACAGAGGAGAAGGCAGUCGGGACAGGGUGUUGGUGAGGCCAGGAAGCAGUCGGAAUAAAGUACCAGGUAGUCCACAAGACAGCCAGGACAGUAGAGCUGGCAGCCGAGAAAGGGGACCACCUCGAAGGGCUGGCAGUCAGGAGAGAGGACUUCCUCGAAGGGCCGGAAGUAGAGAGAGAGUACCCCCCCGAAGAGCUGGGAGCAGAGAGAAGGGACCACCUCGGGGGCCAGGCAGUCGAGAAAGGGGACUAGGAAGACCAGAUUUUGGUCAUGAUAGAGUUCCAUUCAGACCAGAACCAGGAGAUGGUGGGGAGAAAAUGUAUCCUUAUCACCGAGAUGAACCUCCAAGGGCUCCGUGGAACCAUGGAGAAGAGAGAGGACACGAAGAGUUUCCAUUAGAUAGUAGAAGUGCUCCAAUUGAGCGAGAAAGACUCGAUGACUGGGAUAGAGAGAAAUACUGGAGAGAGUGUGAACGUGACUAUCAAGAUGAUACACUAGAUCCGUACAGCGGAGAGGACAGGUUCUCAGCACCCUCUCGGUCUCAUGAUGGAGACAGGCGAGGCCCUUGGUGGGAUGAUUGGGAAAGAGAUCAGGAUAUGGAUGAGGGUUAUGGUAGGGAAAUGGACAGGGACUUAGACAGAGACAUGGAUCGGAUUAGAAGACCCAUGGAUAUAUAUGAUAGAAAUGUGGAUAAUGAGUGGGACAGAGAUUAUGGGAGACCACUGGAUGAACAAGAAUCACAGUUUCGUGAACGGGAUAUUCCAUCUCUUCCACCUUUGCCACCCCUCCCACCUCUUCCACCUUUGGAUAGAUACCGGGAUGAUAGAUGGAGAGAAGAAAGAAAUCGAGACCAUGGGUAUGACCGAGAUUUCCGUGAUAGGGGUGAGUUAAGGAUUCGAGAGUAUCCAGAAAGAGGAGAUACAUGGCGGGAAAAGAGAGAUUAUGUUCCUGACAGAAUGGACUGGGAAAGAGAACGGUUGUCAGACAGAUGGUACCCAUCUGAUGUGGAUAGACAUUCCCCCAUGGCGGAACAUAUGCCAUCCUCACAUCAUUCCUCUGAAAUGAUGGGGUCCGAUGCAAAUUUAGACUCUGACCAAGGCCUUGGAGGGGUAAUGGUUCUCAGUCAGAGGCAGCACGAAAUCAUUUUGAAAGCUGCACAGGAAUUGAAAAUGCUUCGAGAACAAAAAGAACAGCUUCAAAAGUUAAAAGACUUUGGAGCUGAGCCACAGAUGGCCGACCAUCCACCACCCCAAGACUCAAGACUACAGAAUGCAUCAAGACCUGGGAUAUAUCCGGUAUGGGAAAAUGUGUACUCAGAAAAUGAAAUGGUUUUUACCUCAUGUGUUUAUAUGACGUUGGAUUUUUAAAAUUGCAAUAAGCAUAAAUUUCCAGUGUAAAAACAUAAAUUUUAGCUGGGCGGUGGUGGCGCAAGCCUUUGGUUCCAGCACUCAGGAG
ensembl:lincRNA